rnacentral:miRNA from 1 species
AAGUCCCUUAAAAAGUUCCUAACAUCCUGUUUCAUUGUACAUUCGGAUUGCUCAAAAAUAAAAUAUAAAAUUUGAUUGGUCAAUGAAACAGGAAGUUAGGAACUUUUUAAGGAACU